rnacentral:rRNA from 1 species
AUUGAACGCUGGCGGCAGGCCUAACACAUGCAAGUCGAACGAGUGGCGGACGGGUGAGUAAUGUCUGGGAAACUGCCUGAUGGAGGGGGAUAACUACUGGAAACGGUAGCUAAUACCGCAUACCAUCAGAUGUGCCCAGAUGGGAUUAGCUUGUUGGUGGGGUAACGGCGCACCAAGGCGACGAUCCCUAGCUGGUCUGAGAGGAUGACCAGCGACUCUGGGACUGAGACACGGACCAGAUGCCUACGGGAGGCAGGAGUGGGGAAUAUUGCGCAAUGGGCGCAAUCCUGAUGCAGCCAUGCCGUGUGUAUGAAGAAGGCCUUCGGGUUGUAAAGUCCUUUCAGCGGAGAGGCGUUACCCGCAGAUGAAGCACCGGCUAACUCCGUGACAGCAGCCGCGGUAAUAC